rnacentral:rRNA from 1 species
AAUUUUGUAUAAUGGGGGAAAAUCUGAUCCAGUCAUCACGCGUUGAUGAUGAAGGCCUGCGGUAUGCAAAGUAUUAUUGGCAGAGAAGAAAAGGUAUCUCCUAAUACGAUUUACUGCUGACGGUAUCAGCAGAAGAAGCACCGGCUAACUACGGGAUAGCAGCCGCGGUAAUACGUAGGGUGCAAGCGUUAAUCGGAAUUACUGGGCGUAAAGCGUGUGUAGGCGGUUCGGAAAGAAAGAUGUGAAAUCCCAGUGCUCAACCUUGGAACUGCAGUUUUAACUGACGAGCUAGAGUAUGUCAGAGGGGGGUAGAAUUCCACGUGUAGCAGUGAAAUGCGUAGAUAUGUGGAGAAAUACCGAUGGCGAAGGCAGCCCCCUGGGAUAAUACUGACGCUCAGACACGAAAGCGUGGGGAGCAAACA